CGGGCUUGAGGGUCGGUGUCCCGGAGGUUCGGUUUUUCCUUGACCUCCUCCCCGCCCCAUCCUUAGCCCUUCUCCGCUUCUCCCUUCCCGCUCGGGCCUCCGGUGGGGAGGAGGGGGCUGCCGAAGCCGGCUCUGUCUGGGCGGCCGGGAGCAGGCGCGCUGAGCGGGAGCAGCAGCGCCACCAGGGUGAAAUUCAGCGUUAGGAGACAUUAUCAUCUAAAGGUGUUUCUGCCAAGAAUAAUAAAAGCAUUUUAAACAGUUUGUAUUAAAGAAAGCUGUGAACAUUCAUCUAGGCAAGUAAAAGAAGAAGGUCUAUUGUUAUCCAAGAAGGGCAGGAGGACCCCAUCCAGGAUCUAGUGCAGAUCUAUAUCAUGCUUUGCGAUUUUGUGAAUGUCAGGAUGGUCACUCAAGUUAAGAAAAUUGUGGAGUUAUGACUAACAGAUUUCUCACAGCUGAAGAACACAGAGGAUAGAACUCAUGCGAGUUGUUCUAGCAGACCAGUAACCUGAAUGCUGUUAUGGCUCAAAUUUUCUGGGUCAGCCUAAGCUGUCAUACAACUUCUGAUACAGAAUCUCCUGGUUCUUAAUAUCUGAUUAGUUUCCACUGCAGCAAAUUACAUAGCCAUGGUUUGGGGUGACAUACCUAACCUAAAAGAUAAUUGCAUUUUGUUGAAUUCUUCAACCAUGGAAGAAUUGGAAGUGGAUCUUGGCUCUGGACUGAAGGAAGAUGACAAAAAACAUGGCAGCCCUUUUGAAGAUUCGACAAUCUUUGUAGCUUUCAAAGGAAACAUAGAGGAUGAUGACUUCAAACAGAAAUUAGGCAUCAUCUUGGAAAAUGUUCCUGGUCUUUUACACAUGGAAUCUGACAAGCUAAAAUUGAAGAAGGUGGAACCCUGGAACAGUGUACGUGUUACUUUCAAUAUUCCUCGUGAGGCAGCUGAGCGACUACGAACACUGGCUCAAAACAAUAACCAACAGCUUCGGGAUUUAGGAAUUCUCUCUGUUCAAAUAGAAGGUGAAGGUGCAAUCAAUUUGUCAUUAACUCAAAACAGAGGCCAGGAUGUGAGGAUUAAUGGGCCUGUUGCACAAGGCCCCUCAGUACGAAUGGAGACAGCAUUUCCCAUGCCAGGAAGCCAAGGGUUGAUACGAAUAAACAAUCCUGCAACUGUUGUGAUGCAGCAGAGUGGGAAUGUGUCAUCAUCUAUGAUGACAAGUACAGCUAACGCAGAGCUGCAACCGAGAACACCUCGUCCAGCAUCUCAGUCAGAUGCAGUUGAUCCACUCUUAUCAGGGCUAACCAUUCAACAGCAGAAUCACCCAUCAGGAUCUGUAGUGCCUCAGCUUCAUUCAGUACAGCAAGUUCCUGUUAACAGGCAAAUAAACCCAGCCAGCUUUCAACAGAUGCAACAGCAACUGCAGCCACGGCCUCCUCAGCAGCACCAGCAGCCACAACAGGGUAUUCGCCCUUCAUUUACAACCCCAGUUCAGGUUCCAGUUCCUUCUGGUUGGAACCAGGUGCCUUCUGGAACAGUUCAGCCUCCUCCAUCCCAAGGAACAAUAGGCACAUUGCCAGUUAACCAGGGUUGGAAAAAGGCUUCUUUACCUGGGCAAAUGCAGCAGCAACUUCAAGCUAGACCAUCUUUAGCAACGGUACAAACACCUUCUCAUCCUCCACCCCCAUAUCCUUUUGGAAGCCAACAAGCUUCUCAGGCACACACAAACUUCCCUCAGAUUAACAACUCUGGCCAGUUUACUGCUCCUCAGAUGAAGAAUCUUCAGGGAGGGCCCUCACGGGUCCCUACACCACUACAGCAACCACACCUGACCAACAAGUCUCCUGCCUCCUCUCCUUCCUCUUUUCAGCAGGGAUCUCCUGCAUCUUCUCCUACAGUUAACCAAUCACAACAGCAGAUGGGACCAAGACCUCCCCAGAAUAAUACCAUCCCCCAGGGGUUUCAGCAGCCUGUAAAUUCCCCUGGCCGUAAUCCUAUGGUACAACAGGGAAACGUACCUCCUAAUUUCAUGGUGAUGCAACAGCAAAACCAGGGUCCACAGGGCUUACAUCCUGGGCUAGGAGGAAUGCCCAAGCGUCUCCCACCUGGCUUUUCUACAGGACAAGCAAAUCAAAACUUCAUGCAAAGUCAGGUGCCUUCUACAGCACCAGGAACACCUGCAAAUAGUGGAACACCCCAGCUGCAAACAAGUCAGAAUGUGCAACAUACAGGUGGUCAAGGGAAUGGUCCUGCUCAGAAUCAGAUGCAAGUUCAACAUGGCCCAUCAAAUAUGAUGCAGACCAAUUUAAUGGGACUUCAUGGAAAUAUGAACAAUCAGCAGACGGGCACUAGUGGAGUUCCACAAGUUAGCAUGAGCACCAUGCAGGGACAGCCUCCACAAGGACCACAAUCUCAGUUAAUGGGGAUGCAUCAACAAAUAGUAUCCUCCCAAGGACAGAUGGUAAACCUACAGCCUCAGGGAUCUCUAAAUCCUCAGAACCAGAUGAUACUUUCUCGUGCUCAGCUUAUACCACAGGGCCAGAUGAUGGUAGCACCUCAAAACCAAAAUCUUGGUCCAUCACAACAAAGGAUGACUCCACCCAAACAGAUGAUUCCCCAGCAAGGCCAGCAAAUGAUGGCUGCACAUAAUCAGAUGAUGGGACCCCAAAGCCAGGUGUUGCUACAGCAGAAUCCAAUGAUGGAGCAGAUGAUGACCAAUCAGAUGCAAGGAAAUAAGCAGCAGUUCAAUGCUCAAAGCCAGUCCAGUGUUGUGACGGGGCCAGCUCAGUUAAUGAGAGGACCAACACCUAACAUGCAAGGAAAUAUGGUGCAGUUUGCAGGGCAGAUGAUGACACAGCAAGGCCCUGUGAAUGGAAAUCCUUCUCAGGUUAUGGGGAUUCAAGGGCAGGUUCUGAGACCCGCAGGACCUAACACACACAUGUCUCAGCAGCUGGGUGAUACCAGCAGUACAACAAACAAUGAUGUGAACAUGGCACAAAUGCUACCUGAUGUUUCCAUGCAACAAGGAAACAUGGUGCCUCCCCACUUGCAAGGGAUGCAGGGAAACAGCAAUACAUCAGGGAGCCAUUUUUCUGCACAUGGGAUGCCUUUCAAUGCCCCCUUUAGUGGAGUCCAAAAUGGGAAUCAGAUUUCCUGCGGACAAAACACAGGUUUUCCUGUCAACAAAGAUGUCACACUAACAAGCCCAUUGUUAGUAAACUUGCUACAAAGUGAUAUAUCUGCAGGACAUUUUGGGGUAAACAGUAAGCAGAACAAUCAAAGUGCCAAUAAACCCAAGAAGAAAAAACCACCAAGGAAAAAGAAACAAAAUCAGCAAGUAGAACAAAUUAAUGCUUCAGAGCCACGCCCAGCAGGCCUUGAGGAGACAGAUCAGCCACCUUUGCCAGGAGAACAAGGAAUAAAUUUGGAUAACACUGGACAUAAGAUUUCAGACUUCACAAACAGGCCACCAGGUUACCCAGCUCAGCCAAUGGAACAAAGAUCACUUCAAAUACCACCUCAGCUUUUGCAACAUGGGCAGCAGCAGCAACAGCAACAGCAGCAGCAGCAGCAACAACAACAACAGCAACAGCAACAGCAGCCACCACCACCGCCGCUGCCGCCGCCGCCGCCACCACCACCACCACCACAACCCACAUCUCAGCAGACACCAACCCAACAGCAACAAAUGAUGAUGAUGCUUAUGAUGCAACAGGAUCCUAAAUCUGUCAGGCUUCCUAUUUCCCAAGGUGUCCAUCAGCCUAGGGGUCCUCUGAAUGUAGAGACUCAAAGAAUGCCAAUGCAACAAGGGGGCAACAUGUCAUUGAUGGUUAGUCUGCAAGGUCCUGGUUCGGUACCUCCAUCUCCUGAUAAGCAAAGAAUUCCAAUGCCAAACAAUUCAGCUCUGGUGAACAGUGUGCGGAAGAUGGUAUAUACAGAUAAUGCACAGAACCCUAAUAGCUCUCCCUUGAGAGAAGCUUCUUCAGUGCCCUCUGUUUCAGAAGGAAAUGGGGCUGAAGUUCCUCCAGCAUCAGGGCCUCAAAAUAACAUACCAUCUCAUUUAAUAGUUUCACAAAACCAGCUAAUGAUGGCAGGGCCAAAGCCUGGACCUUCUCCAAUGUCAGCUCCCCAGGGUGCAAGCCCGCAGCAGCAGUCUAAUUCCCUUCCUGGCUCUCAUCCACACCACUUUCAAAAUGUUGCUACCACAUCACAGACAUCCAGACCUAAAACACCCAACAGGGCAAGUCCAAGACCAUACUAUCCUCAAACUCCUAAUAAUCGUCCACCAAGCACAGAGCCAUCAGAAAUCAGUUUAUCUCCAGAAAGACUGAAUGCUUCAAUUGCAGGUCUCUUUCCUCCUCAAAUUAAUAUUCCUUUGCCUCCUAGGCCUAGUCUUAAUAGAGGAUUUGAUCAGCAGGGUCUUAAUCCAACCACUUUGAAGGCCAUUGGGCAAGCACCGUCCAGUCUCACAAUGAACAGCCAGUCAAGCUUUGCUUCCCCACAAAUACAUAAAUUGGACCCUAUGACUAUUAAUUCUGGAAAGCAAACUAAUGCUAGUGGGGCAAAGCGUGCUAGUCCAAGUAACAGUAGAAGGUCCAGUCCUGGAUCCAGUAGAAAAACCACACCAAGCCCUGGGAGACAAAACUCAAAAGCAGCAAAGCUAGCUUUGACAUCACAGCAGAGUCCAGCACUCAUGCAGAACAUGGACUUACAGAGAAAUAUGAUGGUUGGUCCACCUUCUUUGCAAACACCUAUACCUGGAAGUUUUCAAAAUAAUGGUAUGCUUACUGCUCAGAACUCUGCAAUCCCCAUGUCUGGUAUUAUGACUGGAAUUCCUGAGGAUAACAAAGAAAGCUUCAAUGUCUCUCAAGACAGUGCAUGCCAAAAUAUGCAGCUUGUCCCAGUGAAUAAAGAUCAUCACAACAUUGAGUUAAAAGGUGGUCCUGGCCAAGAUGCCAAAGUAAUGGUUCAUGAAGAGCAACAGAAAAGAGAUGUCCCUUCUACAGAAUCCAGCAAACUUCUCAGUCUGGAAGAAAAUAACAGUGUUAUUUCUCCAGCUAUGCGGGAAGCACCAACAUCCUUAAGUCAGCUUCUUGACAAUUCUGGAGCUCCUAAUGUUACCAUCAAACCAUCUGGUGUCCCUGGUCUUGAAGUGCCUCCAACAGUGACGUGUGCAGAUGAAUUUAAAAAGAUUUCUGCCAUUCCUCCUUCCCAGCAAGAUCCUCCUCCUAGCAAAGACCCUAUUUGUACUCUAGGUUUGCCUUCAAAUAUUGAAGCCUCUCAAGUGCAACAAGAUCCAGGAGACAUAAAUUCCAAUGUUUCUCAGAGCAUAUCUCCAGUCAUACAGAGACCUGUUAGCUCUUCUAUUUCAACAUCACUCCCACCUAAUCAGAUAACUGUAUUUGUAACUUCCAACCCCAUUACAUCAUCAUCUAACACAUCAGCAUCAUUGCCCUCUCAUUUACAGCCUACCUUAAUGCCUACUGUUGUCACAAUGCCUAAUGUGGGUAAUAAAGUUAUAACUUCUGAAGGACAGACAGCAGUUCAGUCUAAUGCACGACCUCAGUUCAUUACUCCAGUUUUUAUAAAUUCAUCCUCAAUAAUUCAGGUUAUGAAAGGAUCUCAGCCAAGUACAAUCCCUGCAACCCCAAUGACUUCUAGCUCCAAUCUAAUACCACAGUCUGUUGCAGUUGUUGGUUCUUUGCAUUUACCCCAGAAUAUAAAGUUCUCAUCGGGGCCUUCUUGCUCGUCUUCUAAUACUUCUGUCUCCAGUAUGCCAUCAAGCCGGUCACUCAUUAUUAAUUCUCCAGCAACUCCUAUUCAGCUUCCUUCUCUCUCAUCAACAGCUCCUUCAAGCACUUCUUCGCAUCCUUCCAUUCAGCAAGUCAAAGAUUUUAAUUCAGAGGAGAUAAAUUCUCAGACUUGUGUGUCUGUUGAUCCAUCCACUGAAGCAGCCUCACAGCCUGGAGCUGUGGUUUCUCCACCUUGUCCGCAUAGCCCUGGAUCUUCCAUCAACAGAAGAAGUCCAGUUUCCUCUACUAAGGGAAAGGGGAAGGUGGACAGAAUUGGUCAGUUUUUGCUGACAAAAGCAUGCAAGAAAGUAACAGAUUCCCUUGAGAAAGGGGAAGAACAGUAUAUUGUGGAGGGAGAAUUAGAAGGUCAGGAACAAGAUAUUUCAAUCCCUAACAGUCUGGAAAUUGAGCAGUUACCUGUAGAACUCGAAGACAGUGCUGUGGCAUCUCCAGCCCCCUCUCUCUUGAAACAAAGCACUUCUGGAACUGCCCAUUUAAGUCCUAGCACUACUGCUACUGUUUCUGCCUCUAUACCUCUAAGUUUACCAGGGAGCACGCCUUCCACCAAUGUACACUCAGUGGUAACUACUCCUGUGAUCUCUGACAUCCUAUCUUCAAUUCCAAAUACUAAUGGUAACCCUGGUUGUUUACCAGCAGAGCAAGUUGGGAUUGGAGCAGAGGAUGAGAAAGCUGAAGCCCACAAUGAAUUACCACAGAACAUGGCAUCUUCAAGUCAGAUAUUAGUUGCAACUCCUGAAAGUACCAUUCAAAGAACAGAACUGGAAGCAAAUUCUGCCAUUAUUUCUGGCUUAACUAAUGAGCCAAAGGAGAGUUGUGAGAAGUCUAAAACUCCAAGUAGAAGAAAUUCACGAACAGAGGAGUCUUCAGCAGUGCAGGAAACUAUAGAGAAUGGUCAACGCAAGAGGUCCUCCAGGCCAGCAUCAGCAUCCAGCACUGCAAAAGGCUUGCCUGCAACCAUCAGUUUAUAAAAGCCAGCCCUUGUGUUGCAUCACAGUAGUGAGAUCAAGAAACAGAAGCAAGGAAACAAAUGCCAGUGCUAUGCAGACAAAAAGAAGAAAAUCCAAAUGAAUUACUGAGUAUAUAUGCAAGGCUUGUAAAUGUGUGAAUUUCAUCAAUAGCAGUUCUGAGCUGUGAUUUUUUGCUAUAUAUAAAAACAAAAGAAAUCCUAAAAUGCUGUAUAGUAAUUCAUUUUAUUAUCCUGUUACCAAUAAAUACAAAAGGUUUUUUUUCCUAAAGACUUAAUGAUGGAAAAAAUCAGGUUAUUUGUUAAAUUAUCUGGUUUUGUAAAUUCCACACUAAGCACACUAGAUUUAGCAUGUUGUAAAAAAAUCUGAGGAGAUAAUUGUAAAUUUAUUUCUACGUUUUCACUUUUCAUAGGACAAAUUAGAAUACAGGGUUGUCAUUUUUUAGAUAUUAAAAUAAUGUAUUGUGCCGUUGGUCAAGUACUGUAUGUGAAUAGCAGUUAAAAGGGUUAUAUAUGGCCCAGUCUUGGAAAUGUAAAUAGUUUUAUUAUAUAGUAGGUUUGAUGUAUUUGCUGUAGAAAAGGACCAGUGAAAAGAAAUGAAAUGGAAGGGUUUGUGAUAUGUGGAUUACCUAGUGCUCUAAAUAAAUGUCAUUGACCUAUA